ACGGCUCAGUAACACGUAGUCAACAUGCCCAGGGGACGAGGAUAACCUCGGGAAACUGAGGAUAAACCUCGAUAGGCCAUGAUUUCUGGAAUGAUUCUUGGCUCAAACCUAUAUGGCCCCUGGAUUGGACUGCGGCCGAUCAGGCUGUUGGUGAGGUAAUGGCCCACCAAACCUAUUACCGGUACGGGCUCUGAGAGGAGGAGCCCGGAGAUGGGCACUGAGACAAGGGCCCAGGCCCUAUGGGGCGCAGCAGGCGCGAAACCUCUGCAAUAGGCGAAAGCUUGACAGGGUUACUCUGAGUGAUUUCCGCUAAGGGAAUCUUUUGGCACCUCUAAAAAUGGUGCAGAAUAAGGGGUGGGCAAGUCUGGUGUCAGCCGCCGCGGUAAUACCAGCACCCCGAGUGGUCGGGACGAUUAUUGGGCCUAAAGCAUCCGUAGCCGGUCCUGCAAGUCUUCCGUUAAAUCCAGCUGCUCAACAGAUGGGCUGCGGGAGAUACUACAGGGCUAGGAGGCGGGAGAGGCAAGCGGUACUUUAUGGGUAGGGGUAAAAUCCGCUGAUCCAUAGAAGACCACCAGUGGCGAAGGCGGCUUGCCAGAACGCGCUCGACGGUGAGGGAUGAAAGCUGGGGGAGCAAACCGGAUUAGAUACCCGGGUAGUCCCAGCUGUAAACGAUGCAGACUCGGUGAUGGGUUGGCCUCGCGCCUGCCCAGUGCCGCAGGGAAGCCGUUAAGUCUGCCGCCUGGGGAGUACGGUCGCGAGACUGAAACUUAAAGGAAUUGGCGGGGGAGCAC
rnacentral:rRNA from 1 species